AAGAAAAGAAAAAAGAAAUUAUUCCUCGACACAAGAUUUCACUACCUCAAAGGAAAUUAGAAGAGUAUCUAUUUGCAUUCCCCUAGGUGAUUGGCAGUUCAACACCAAUUAGUUCAAAAUUACACUGUUACUAGCGUGCAAUAAAAACAACACCUUUCAUCUUCCUUACACAGAAUACAAAGGUACUGCAACUUGACACACCACAAAAAUGAAACAAGUAUAUUUUCUGUGCUCUUAAGAAUAAAGAAUACAAAAAAAAAAAAAAGAAUAAAGAAUACAAGCUUCAAUGAAAAAGGCUUUUAAAGGAAGAUCAAAAUCAAGCAGGA